rnacentral:rRNA from 1 species
AAUGAACGCUGGCGGCGCGCCUAAUACAUGCAAGUCGAGCGAGAAGACGUAGCAAUACGUUUGUAAAGCGGCGAACGGGUGAGGAAUACAUGGGUAACCUACCCUAGAGUGGGGAAUAACUAGCCGAAAGGUUAGCUAAUACCGCGUACGCUCCUUGGACUUCGGUUCAGGGAGGAAAGCGCUACCGAGGGUAGCGCGCUCUUGGUUGGGCUCAUGUCCUAUCAGCUUGUUGGUGAGGUAACGGCUCACCAAGGCUUCGACGGGUAGCUGGUCUGAGAGGACGAUCAGCCACACUGGCACUGCGACACGGGCCAGACUCCUACGGGAGGCUG